CCUANGGGGGGCUGCAGUCGAGAAGCUUCGGCAAUGGGGGAAACCCUGACCGAGCGACGCCGCGUGAGCGAUGAAGGCCCUAGUGGUUGUAAAGCUCUGUCAGAUUGGGAAUAAAUGCCGGGGGCGAAUAACCCCUGGAGCUGAAGGUACCGUCAGAGGAAGCACCGGCUAACUCCGUGCCAGCAGCCGCGGUAAUACGGAGGGUGCAAGCGUUGUUCGGAUUCACUGGGUAUAAAGGGUGCGUAGGCGGCCUUGUAAGUCAGAGGUGAAAGCUACCGGCUUAACUGGCAAAUUGCCUUUGAAACUGCGAGGCUUGAGUCCGGGAGAGGAAGGCGGAAUUCCUGGUGUAGCGGUGAAAUGCGUAAAUAUCAGGAGGAACACCGGUGGCGAAGGCGGCCUUCUGGUCCGGUACUGACGCUGAGGCACGAAAGCCAGGGGAGCAAACGGGAUUAGAUACCCCGNUANUC
rnacentral:rRNA from 1 species